UACGGGGGGGGCAAGCGUUGUUCGGAAUUACUGGGCAUAAAGGGCUCGUAGGCGGCCAACUAAGUCCGACGUGAAAUCCCCAGGCUCAACCUGGGAACUGCGUCGGAUACUGGAUGGCUUGAAUUCGGGAGAGGGAUGCAGAAUUCCAGGUGUAGCGGUGAAAUGCGUAGAUAUCUGGAGGAAUACCGGUGGCGAAGGCGGCAUCCUGGACCGACAUUGACGCUGAGGAGCGAAAGCUAGGGGAGCAAACGGG
rnacentral:rRNA from 1 species